rnacentral:rRNA from 1 species
CCUACGGGGGGCAGCAGUCGAGAAUCUUCGGCAAUGGGCGCAAGCCUGACCGAGCGACGCCGCGUGCGGGAUGAAGGUCUUCGGAUUGUAAACCGCUGUCGGAGGGGAUGAAAUGCAUGGGGGUACUCCCCUGUGUUUGACAGAGCCUCGGAGGAAGCACGGGCUAAGUUCGUGCCAGCAGCCGCGGUAAUACGAACUGUGCGAACGUUAUUGGGAAACACUGGGCUAGAAGGGGGCGUAGGCGAGGUCUGAAAUCCCCCGGCUCAACCGGGGAACUGCGCUUGAAACUGGGGUGCUCGAGUGAGGUAGGGGUGUAUGGAACUUCCGGUGGAGCGGUGAAAUGUGUAGAUAUCGGAAGGAACGCCGGCGGCGAAAGCGGUACACUGGGCCUUGUCUGACGCUGAGGCACGAAAGUUAGGGGAGUGAACGGGAUUAGAUACCCCUGUAGUC